CAGCAGCCGCGGGAAAACCGAGGAUGCAAGCGUUAUCCGGAAUGAUUGGGCGUAAAGGGUGCGUAGGCGGCUUGACAAGUCUUGUGUGAAAUCUAUGGGCUCAACCCAUAGUCUGCACGGGAAACUGUCGGGCUUGAGAAUGGGAGAGGUGAGUGGAAUUUCCGGUGUAGCGGUGAAAUGCGUAGAUAUCGGAAGGAACACCUGUGGCGAAAGCGGCUCACUGGACCAUUUCUGACGCUGAUGCACGAAAGCUAGGGGAGCAAACAGGAUUAGAUACCCGAGUAGUCCCUGUCUCUUAUAC
rnacentral:rRNA from 1 species